CCUAGGUACGUGCUGUUAGGUACUUGCAUCAAGUUGUUCCACACGGUGGAGACAAUGGCUCAACGAUAAAGUGUGCAUUCUUUACAGCAGAUCAGGAGGAUUACAACAGAUUGAGAUCAAUGAGUUAUGGUCAAGGCAAUCCUCAAUUCAAAUUGCAAAGCAAUACCGUGUAAUUCCUGU